CAUAUGUCAAGGCAGAAAUGGAACGUUCUGUACCGACAAGCCAUGCGAAAACUUUAGCAUAACAGGAUGUACAGUAGGACAGUACGAAUGUUCCACCGCGGACGGUAUUAAGGUUUGUUCUGACGCACCAUGCGAAGGAGGAAAUGAGAACUGCCCAGAAGGACAGAUGCUUUGUGGCACUGAGGCGGAUAGCAUUCCAUAUUGUGCCGAUAAAUGUGUCGGCAU